UGUUUUCACGAUGUGGAACACGUCAAUGAUGUUUUGCUGCUGGAUCAUCUCACACACACUGCAGAUGGCACAGAAGGUUCCACUACGGCCUCCCCCAUUUCUAAACAAUUUCUCUUUAGGAUAAUACUCAAAGGACUGCCCGUGUGGAAAUUCUGGAUCAGCCAGCUUGGGGUAGCUGUGAAGAUGAGUAGCAUCCUAGAUAUGGGAUACUGCAUGUCAAAAUACAGAGAUCUGUGGGUUGCUCCGAUGAGCUGAAUGACCCAGAAGAUAAAAGAGGAAGGUUGAGAUCACUGUUAUUUCUUGCAGAAACCAGCAAGAAACUGAGCUCGGCUCCCUGGCUCACAUAGACAUGGAACAGAGAUCACAUCUGUGAGUGGAGGAGCCAGACUUUUUUCUUCCUUAGAUGUAAAACUUUUGAAGUUGGCUGAUCCAAGAAUAGAUUCAAAUUCUUCAGCCAAGAGUCUAGACCAACUGACUUUUUCCAUGUCUGUACCAGGUUGACCCUUUGGGCCCGGAGCUCACGCACGCAGUUGAAGAUGUCCACCACCCCUUCAUUCUCGGCCAUGUCAAGCAUGGUGUCAAUGGCAAUGAAGCAGCCAGUCCGCCCAGCCCCAGCUUUCUUCUUCAGCAAAUGGGUUGACGGAUGGAAGCAAAGAAGGAGAGGAGAGAGAACAGAGGGGAGAUGAAUGACAGGACAGAAACGAGAGUCCUCUGAGCUGUCCCCAAGACAGAGAGUGGUUGGUGGAGCACCACGUUCAAAGGCCGGCAUCUGGCUCCACCUGCAGCUGUUUUCGCAGGAUCGUGAAGCAAGAGUGUCAUGAAACUGGAGCAGCUGACCGUCCGGAGACCCUUGUCAGGGAUCAAGUUUCUUGAUACAUACUUACUUGAUUUCUGGUCACUAGUGGCUUCUUUAGGAGAAUCUCAGACCAAGUAUAAAAUGGUAGGGGAACUCAACGAGACUCUAUGGGCCUUGGCCAGCCCUUUCUAGAUCAGUGCUGGGCUCUGAAACAUCAGUGCUGACCAAGAGGCACGUAAGACAUGUGCCUUACACAUGUGCAGUUUUGGAUGGGAAGGCCGGGCAGCCUGUCAAGGAGGCCCCCUUCCGCUGCGUUUUCACAUCUUGCCUUUCUCAUGGAAACAAGUGUCUUUGUCUAACAAUGUAGAUGUCAAAAGACACACAAAGAGGAAGAGAGAUGGAACAAGACAAAAAAGCAAUAUUGGCUCAUGGUAAAUCCAAGGGGCACAGGCCAGUGCGGACCACUACCUACAACAAUUUGGAAAGUACACCCAUUGGAAGCAGAGUCUUCAUUCAUGAGAAACUUUCAUGGUUUGAAUGAAGUCUGACUUAAGUUUGCUUCAGAACCUACUCCCCAAAAUCCAGAUGCGGGGACUCAAGAGACUUGGCCUCUGUGUCUGGGAGGGAGUAUAGGGGGGGUCACUCGUGUUUUUUUCUUCAAUGUUCAUAUUCACCAUGCUUUAGUAUAAAGAAUCAGCCCAAUUUGGUUCCAAAUUUUGGAACAACUAUCAAUCAAUCAGCGGUGACCAAGUUGCCUAGUGUCCGUUUGUUUGUUAGCUUCAGAUUUCUGAUGCUUUUAACAUACCUCCCUGCAGGGUCCUUGUGAGGACAAAGCUGUGUUUAUUUCAUUUCAGCAUCACAUAGUAAUUGAACACAGGAUAUUUGAAAAGACCCCCUAGGAUUAAAUCCUGGCUCUAUUACUUAUUAGCUGCAUGACCUCGGGCAAAUGACUUAACCUCUCUGGGUUUCAAUACUCAUCUAUAAAAUGAUGUUGAUAAUAAUUAAAAUACUCACUCAUCUAUAAAAUGAUGUUGAUAAUAAUUAAUAGAUCCACCUCACAGCAUUAAUAGCACAAUAUGUAUAAAUUGGAUGAAAUUACAAUUAAAAUGCAUAAUGCAUACAAAUUGCU
rnacentral:lncRNA from 1 species